GAUGAACGCUGGCGGCGUGCCUAAUACAUGCAAGUCGAGCGAACGGACGAGACGCUUGCUUCUCUGAUGUUAGCGGCGGACGGGUGAGUAACACGUGGAUAACCUACCUAUAAGACUGGGAUAACUUCGGGAAACCGGAGCUAAUACCGGAUAAUAUUUUGAACCGCAUGGUUCAAAAGUGAAAGACGGUCUUGCUGUCACUUAUAGAUGGAUCCGCGCUGCAUUAGCUAGUUGGUAAGGUAACGGCUUACCAAGGCAACGAUGCAUAGCCGAACUGAGAGGGUGAUCGGCCACACUGGAACUGAGACACGGUCAAGACGCCUACGGGAGGCAGCAGUAGGGUAUCUUCCGCAAUGGGCGAAAGCCUGACGGAGCAACGCCGCGUGAGUGAUGAAGGUCUUCGGAUCGUAAAAAUCUGUUAUUAGGGAAGAACAUAUGUGUAAGUAAAUGUGCACAGCUUGACGGUACCUAAUCAGAAAGCCACGGCUAACUACGUG
rnacentral:rRNA from 1 species